UUUAAAUGAGGUGUGUCCAGGUGCAUUGUCGGCGCGUUGCUAUUUUAAGGCAACAAAAUGACGUUGUGCUUUUGAGUUGACCAAACAAAACCACGUCUAAAGUCAGCGACGCAUUGUUAAACAGUAUUGAAGCGACGCGUUUUAGAUUAGCUACCACACAACGUAUGGCCAGCCCAGCCCGAUCUGUUUCCGAGCUCGCAAGAUCUGCCCGAAGCUCAUUCAGCUUAUCCCUGGAUCGGGCUACCAAGAGAAACACGUGACGACCCGAUGUUUCAUUUUCGGAUUUCCAAGGAAAUUAUUCCGGACAACAGUUGGCAGACUAAGAUUACACACCGUUUUACUCAUUCGUUUGCAGAAUGUGAUAUUUUUUACUUUUGUAAACGUCUAUUAAAACAUGCAUUUUAUUGUUAA